rnacentral:rRNA from 1 species
GCUUGUCUCAAAGAUUAAGCCAUGCAUGUCUAAGUACAAGCCUCAGUAAGGUGAAACCGCGAAUGGCUCAUUAAAUCACACCUAAUCUACUGGAAAGUUACUAGUUACUUGGAUAACUGAGGUAAUUCUAGAGCUAAUACAUGCAUUAAACCCCGACUUCUGGAAGGGGUGUAUUUAUUAGAUGGAAACCAAUGCGGGGUAACCCGGAAUAUGGUGAUUCAUAAUAACUUUCGGAUCGAUUUAUCGAUGCAUCAUUCAAGUUUCUGCCCUAUCAGCUUUGGAUGGUAGGGUAUUGGCCUACCAUGGCUUUAACGGGUAACGGAGAAUUAGGGUUCGAUUCCGGAGAGGGAGCCUGAGAAAUGGCUACCACAUCCAAGGAAGGCAGCAGG